GCACAUCUUACAAUUGUACUUUCAAAAUCAUUGUUUAAUUAUCUGUAAUUACUCUUUGGAUUGCUUGUUGUAAUGAUGUCGUCAGGGCUUGUAACUAGGUUUAGACGGACGUGCGGACUGGCAGAGAUAAGCCCAUGGUGAGCUCAAUUUGUUGCCAAAUUCUAUCUAGUAAUAGAUAAUAAAUAACUAGUCCAUUCAUGUGUGGAGGAGAGAAAGAGCACAUGAUACAUGUUAUAAUCUCAAUUAUCUUGAGAUCCUUUCCCAAGUCGGUCUUUGAUUCCUUCUCUUUCUGAUGGACAAGAUUCUCAUCAAGCCUGGGGCAAGCUUUGUGUUGGAAUCUCUUCUCUCCCUGACGGAUCCGUCUGAACAGAAAGAUCUACAACUUUUUCCCAAAAUGUUAUGGAUCAGAGGUGCCUGAACCCUAGAGGCUCAGAUCAGCAACUAGCAAGAUCUCUAUUCCAACCUGGAAAGGGGGAAACUACAGUGGAAAUGAAGAACCCUAAUUAACAGAGAAAUUUGUGGGCGAUGACUUUGUGAACAGAAAAAAAAAAUUACCCAUAUUAAAACAUUUGAUCUUUAGCCAACAAAAAACCCAUAAAGACACAAUGAUUUCUACCCAAUUCUGAAGAAUAGGGAAGAGAGAGCGAGAGUAGAGCACGAGAAAGAGAAGGAAGCUAGUCACAAGCAAACCCUAAAUGAGUUAAAAAGAUCGACAAUAAAUUCUGAUUUAUUAAUAUUGUCAAAAUCAUGAAAAUGUGGGAGCUGAAGAGAAAUUCUUGAAGUGAAAAGAAAACUCAAACCCUAGAAAGCAUGAGAGAAAGAAAUGAAGCAUAUGCCGGUGGAGACAGAAAACCCUAGGAGAGAGAAAUUAAAAUGAAAAAAAAUUAAAAAAAAGGAGUAUUAAAAGUGGGGCAGAGCUUGGAGUUGAAACAUUGAUGGAGUACUUCAGAGCUAAGAUUGAAGACAACUUUUUGUCUUGGGGUGGUUGGUUGGACCAUUUUGAAGGGGGUGACUUUCUAUCGGGCCAAAUAAAGAGGAUGCAGAUAAAGGGGGCACUGGGUACAGCACUAUAGAGAGAGUCUUUGUGCAGAAGAUAUUAGAUAGAAUGAAAUGACUGAACCUUCUCAUACGUGGAUAUAUGCAAUGUAACUCAUUAUUUUAGCUGGAAAAUGAUUGCUCCACUGCCUUUUUUGCUA